rnacentral:rRNA from 1 species
UAAGGAAUAUUGGUCAAUGGACGCAAGUCUGAACCAGCCAUGCCGCGUGAAGGAUUAAGGCCCUCUGGGUUGUAAACUUCUUUUAUAGGGGAAGAAAUGUGACGGUUCUCCGUCACUUGACGGUACCCUGGGAAUAAGCACCGGCUAACUCCGUGCCAGCAGCCGCGGUGAUACGGAGGGUGCAAGCGUUAUCCGGAUUCACUGGGGUUAAAGGGUGCGUAGGUGGGCAGAUAAGUCAGUGGUGAAAUCUUCCGGCUUAACCGGGAAACUGCCGUUGAUACUAUUUGUCUUGAAUAUUGCGGAGGUAAGCGGAAUAUGUCAUGUAGCGGUGAAAUGCUUAGAUAUGACAUAGAACACCAAUUGUGAAGGCAGCUUACUACACAAUCAUUGACACUGAGGCACGAAAGCGUGGGUAGCGAACA